rnacentral:rRNA from 1 species
GACGAAUGCUGGCGGCGUGCUUAACACAUGCAAGUCGAACGGAAAGGCCCUGCUUUUGUGGGGUGCUCGAGUGGCGAACGGGUGAGUAACACGUGAGUAACCUGCCCUUGACUUUGGGAUAACUUCAGGAAACUGGGGCUAAUACCGGAUAGGAGCUCCUGCUGCAUGGUGGGGGUUGGAAAGUUUCGGCGGUUGGGGAUGGACUCGCGGCUUAUCAGCUUGUUGGUGGGGUAGUGGCUUACCAAGGCUUUGACGGGUAGCCGGCCUGAGAGGGUGACCGGCCACAUUGGGACUGAGAUACGGCCCAGACUCCUACGGGAGGCAGCAGUGGGGAAUAUUGCACAAUGGGCGGAAGCCUGAUGCAGCAACGCCGCGUGCGGGAUGACGGCCUUCGGGUUGUAAACCGCUUUCGCCUGUGACGAAGCGUGAGUGACGGUAAUGGGUAAAGAAGCGCCGGCUAACUACGUG